rnacentral:rRNA from 1 species
CGCUAUCACUCCUACGGGAGGCAGCAGUGGGGAAUAUUGCACAAUGGGGGAAACCCUGAUGCAGCCAUGCCGCGUGUGUGAAGAAGGCCUUCGGGUUGUAAAGCACUUUCAGUAGGGAGGAAGGUAGUGUAGUUAACACCUGCAUUAUUUGACGUUACCUACAGAAGAAGCACCGGCUAACUCCGUGCCAGCAGCCGCGGUAAUACGGAGGGUGCGAGCGUUAAUCGGAAUUACUGGGCGUAAAGCGCAUGCAGGCGGCCUGUUAAGUCAGAUGUGAAAGCCCCGGGGCUUAACCUCGGAAUUGCAUUUGAAACUGGCAGGCUAGAGUCUUGUAGAGGGGGUAGAAUUUCAGGUGUAGCGGUGAAAAUGCGUAGAGAUCUGAAGGAAUACCAGUGGCGAAGGCGGCCCCCUGGACAAAGACUGACGCUCAGAUGCGAAAGCGUGGGGAGCAAACAGGAUUAGAUACCCUGGUAG